GAGGGGCAUCCGAAGUCGCUGUGCUAACCGCAAGGAGGCAGGGCCUCAAGGAGUGAAUGGUAACUGGGGUGAAGUCGUAACAAGGUAGCCGUAGGUGAACCUGCAGAAGGAUCA
rnacentral:rRNA from 1 species